ACUUAGAAAUUGUAUUCAUUUGUAUUAUUAAAAAUUGGUGUGGCCGAUGAAAUAACUAGAUAGUGAGACGUGUGUCACGUAUAUCUCAUGUUGACAUACAUGAAUCAAUUUUUAACAAUAGAAAUUAAUAGAAAUUUUAACA
rfam:Gossypium hirsutum cultivar TM-1 chromosome 10, whole genome shotgun sequence